UCUCCCAGGGCCGCGCGGGUCACGUGACGCCACGUGCGCCUGCCAGCGGGCGACCGGAGGACGCAGGCGGGAGCGUGCGCGGCUGCACCCGUGGGUGGCAGUUCGGGUGAGGCUGCUCCUGGGGGUCGUGGCCAUCCAGUGCCAUCAAGGGUCCCAGGUGGUGCCUGCCAUCUACUGAGGCCAGGUGGACGGCCCUCUACUGCUCCGCAGCAGAUGAUCUGUAAGAUGGCCUGGUCAAGGCUUCUAGCAGAUUCGGAUCUCUCUCUUCAGUCCAAGUGCAAAUGCUGAACACACCAGUCUCCUGGGGCUGCCGUCGGGACACUUGUCGCUUCCAUGUAACUGAUGGGCUAGCUUGUCACGUGCCAUUGCUGGGGGGGUAUGUCAGACCCUUCACAGUUCCUGACAGCACAGCCUCCCAACCCCCAACAGACUCUGCCCUGUGUUCCUGUUCCAGCUUCAGCAGCAGAAAUCCCAGGAUGUGAGAGCUAGAAGACACCUGAGAGAUGAUCCCUUCCGUGGAUGACAGGUUCUUCUGGGGACUCUGCAGUGAUGAGCAAGUGGGAACUGAGGUGGUGGCCUGCCCACGUUGACACACCUGGUGAAGGUGCAGCAGAAUUUGAACCCAGGCCUUCGCACCGCAGCUCUCUGAGCAGGUUUGGGUGCCGUGUUGUCCGCUUCCAGAACAAGGAUCUUCACUGUACAUCAGGACCCAGGCCCCUCUGACAUCUCCUGAAUGAGAAACAAGGGAUAUUUAAUAAAACGGUGUAAAAUUUGUA